rnacentral:rRNA from 1 species
GAUGAACGCUGGCGGCGUGCCUAAUACAUGCAAGUCGAGCGAACAGACGAGGAGCUUGCUCCUCUGACGUUAGCGGCGGACGGGUGAGUAACACGUGGAUAACCUACCUAUAAGACUGGGAUAACUUCGGGAAACCGGAGCUAAUACCGGAUAAUAUAUUGAACCGCAUGGUUCAAUAGUGAAAGACGGUUUUGCUGUCACUUAUAGAUGGAUCCGCGCCGCAUUAGCUAGUUGGUAAGGUAACGGCUUAUCAAGGCAACGAUGCGUAGCCGACCUGAGAGGGUGAUCGGCCACACUGGAACUGGGACACGGUCCAGACGCCUACGGGAGGCAGCAGUAGGGAAUCUUCCGCAAUGGGCGAAAGCCUGACGGAGCAACGCCGCGUGAGUGAUGAAGGUCUUCGGAUCGUAAAACUCUGUUAUUAGGGAAGAACAAAUGUGUAAGUAACUAUGCACGUCUUGACGGUACCUAAUCAGAAAGCCACGGCUAACUACGUG